UAUGAGAAUCUUGGAAGAACAGGCU
rnacentral:piRNA from 1 species